UUUGCGCAUGGGGGAAACCCUGNCGCAGCAACGCCGCGUGAGUGAUGAAGGCCUUCGGGUCGUAAAGCUCUGUCAAGUGGGAAGAAUCUGCUUUGUGAUAAUACCAUAGAGCACUGACGGUACCACUGAAGGAAGCACCGGCUAACUCCGUGCCAGCAGCCGCGGUAAUACGGGGGGUGCUAGCGUUAUUCGGAAUCAUUGGGCGUAAAGGGCGCGUAGGCGGUCUUUUAAGUCAGAUGUGAAAGCCCUCGGCUUAACCGAGGAAGUGCAUUUGAUACUAAGAGACUUGAGUAUGGGAGAGGGAAGCGGAAUUCCUGGUGUAGCGGUGAAAUGCGUAGAUAUCAGGAGGAACACCGGUGGCGAAGGCGGCUUCCUGGACCAAUACUGACGCUGAGGCGCGAAGGCGUGGGGAGCAAACAGGAUUAGAUACCCUGGUAGUCCACGCAGUAAACUGUGAACACUAGGUGUAGCGGGUAUUGACCCCUGCUGUGCCGAAGCUAACGCAUUAAGUGUUCCGCCUGGGAAGUACGGCCGCAAGGUUAAAACUCAAAGAAAUUGACGGA
rnacentral:rRNA from 1 species